AUUGAACGCUGGCGGCAGGCCUAACACAUGCAAGUCGAGCGGAGCGGCGGACGGGUGAGUACUGCCUAGGAAUCUGCCUGGUAGUGGGGGAUAACGUCCGGAGAAGGGCGCUAAUACCGCAUACUAUCAGAUGAGCCUAGGUCGGAUUAGCUGGUUGGUGGGGUAAAGGCCUACCAGGUCGACGAUCCGUAACUGGUCUGAGCGGAUGAUCAGGCACACUGGAACUGAGACACGGGCCAUACUCCGACGGGAGGCAGCAGUGGUGAAUAUUGGACAAUGGGCGAAAGCCUGAUCCAGCCAUGCCGCGUGUGUGAAGAAGGUCUUCGGAUUGUAAAGCACUUUAAGUUGGGAGGCGUUACCAACAGAAUAAGCACCGGCUAACUUCGUGCCAGCAGCCGCGGUAAUUC
rnacentral:rRNA from 1 species